rnacentral:tRNA from 1 species
GGUUGUGGCUCAGUGGUAAAGCGCUUGCCUAGCACCUGCCAGGCGCUGGGUUCAAUCCUCAGCACCA